GACAGAGGGUGCAAACGUUGUUCGGAAUUACUGGGCGUAAAGCGCGUGUAGGCGGCCCUGCAAGUCGGAUGUGAAAUCCCACGGCUCAACCGUGGAAGUGCAUUCGAAACUGCAGGGCCAGAGUCCUGGAGAGGAAGGUGGAAUGCUUGGUGUAGAGGUGAAAUUCGUAGAUAUCAAGCGGAACACCGGUGGCGAAGGCGGCCUUCUGGACAGUGACUGACGCUGAGACGCGAAAGCGUGGGGAGCAAACAGG
rnacentral:rRNA from 1 species